GAGAAAACAAAGGUUUAUCUAAUUACUAA
rnacentral:piRNA from 1 species